UGUUACUGUUCAUUUUUUUUCAAUGUAGUUCUGCUUAGCCUGCGGUACAUCUAAUUUGCACCUGGCACCAUACUUUAUUAUAUUAUAUGGAUAUGGAUUUUUAGUAAUCGAAAUUAAACUUCUGCCCAAUUCUGCCCACUCUGAUGGGAAGUUUCAUGCUGCAGAGUUCAAAUCUAGUAAUUUACUGUUUUUCUUCGAAUAUUUUAACGCUAAAUUAUGACUACUAUAAGUAACAUCUGACACCAUUCAGGUUAUCAAAAAUAUUUCCUACUGCACUGACCAGUUACUAUAAUAAUAAUAAUGAGUUAUGGUAAUUCUCCCUCCAGAUGUCCGCAAAAAAAAAACUUCUUAGUGGCAGUUAGCUAAUGAUGUUAUUCUUACACAUGUUUAACAAGAAAUCUUUGUAAAUUUCUCAUAUCAUUUACAGAUGUUCCUUUCAUGAUGAUUUUUUAGGAGAUGUGUUCUCCUUGUCUCUUGUUUGUACAUUGAGUGAGCAGCUGUGCCAUUCUGCCUCUCCCUCGUUUAACCUUUAGCCAAUUCCUUUUGGAUUGGAUUAUUGUUUGAUUGUACAUCCACUUUUUAUGCAUUUUCCCAUUUGGAGUAUUAGCCGUGUUGAAUGGGAGUGAGUUGGACCAUCGUAAAUCAUAUUUAGGAAUUACGAAAACCCGUGUGUUUCAUUUAUUUUUUAUUGAGAAAUUGUACAGUGGGCUGGUGGCUGUGAGCUUAUUUGGUUGAAUGGCUCAAUUUCACUACAUAGGACACAGGAGAUCAGUUACUAGUUUUUGUUCAUACUAAAGAUGGAAAAGACCAACAAUGAUUUUCCUAUAACUGGUGAUGAAAAGACUGUGUUUCUGGCAUUGGAAUCAGGCGGCAGGAGAUUUCAGCUUGCAUGUUGAAAUUAUAUAUUUACUGUUUAUUGCUGAUCUUGCCUUUCUGAUGAUUUUUUUCUCUCUAACUCUCAUUAUUCUGAAAAUAGCCUCAAUUGGCGCUUCUGAAUAAAUAGCAAAUUGUGUUUCUUGUAAAUCAUAUAUAUACUAUAUAGUGUAUGGAAAAGCAAUUGUCCUUUGGGGUCACUAUGCCUUCAGUGAUUUCCUACACGCUACUACUGUUAUAUCAUACGACAUAAUUCUUGUAAUUUUGUUUCUUGUAAAUCAUAUAGUCAGCAAUUGAGGAUUAA